rnacentral:rRNA from 1 species
GGGAUUACCUCAGUAACGGCGAGUGAAGCGGUAACAGCUCAAAUUUGAAAUCUGCCGCAAGGCCGAGUUGUAAUUUGUAGAAGAUGCUUUGGGUAUGGCCCCGGUCUAAGUUCGUUGGAACACGACGUCAUAGAGGGUGAGAAUCCCGUAUGUGACUGGGUGCUUUUGCCUAUGUAAAGCUCUUUCGACGAGUCGAGUUGUUUGGGAAUGCAGCUCAAAAUGGGUGGUAUAUUUCAUCUAAAGCUAAAUAUUGGCCAGAGACCGAUAGCGCACAAGUAGAGUGAUCGAAAGAUGAAAAGCACUUUGGAAAGAGAGUUAAACAGUACGUGAAAUUGUUGAAAGGGAAGCGCUUGCAACCAGACUUGCACGCUGUUGAUCAUCCAGGCUUCUGUUUGGUGCACUCAACUGUGUUCAGGCCAGCAUCGGUUUUGGUGGUGGGAUAAAGGCCUUGGGAAUGUAGCUUCUUUCGGGGAGUGUUAUAGCCCUCGGUGCAAUGCCGCCUACUGGGACCGAGGACCGCGCUUCGGCUAGGAUGCUGGCGUAAUGGUUGUAAGCGACCCGUCUUGAAACACGGACCAAGGAGUCUAACAUCUAUGCGAGUGUUUGGGUGUCAAACCCAUACGCGUAAUUAACGUGAACGGAGGUGAGAACCCUUAAGGGUGCAUCAUCGACCGAUCCUGAUGUCUUCGGAUGGAUUUGAGUAAGAGCAUAGCUGUUGGGACCCGAAAGAUGGUGAACUAUGCCUGAAUAGGGUGAAGCCAGAGGAAACUCUGGUGGAGGCUCGCAGCGGUUCUGACGUGCAAAUCGAUCGUCAAAUUUGGGUAUAGGGGCGAAAGACUAAUCGAACCAUCUA